rnacentral:rRNA from 1 species
AAGGAUUCCCCUAGUAACUGCGAGUGAACCGGGAAAAGCUCAAAUUUUGAAUCUGGCGGUCCAAGGGCCGUCCGAGUUGUAAUCUAGAGAAGCGUCUUCCGCGCUGGACCGUGUAUAAGUUUCCUGGAAUGGAACGUCGUAGAGGGUGACAAUCCCGUCUUUGACACGGACUCCCAGUGCUAUGUGAUGCGCUCUCGACGAGUCGAGUUGUUUGGGAAUGCAGCUCAAAUAGGGUGGUAAAUUCCAUCUAAAGCUAAAUACAGGCGAGAGACCGAUAGCGAACAAGUACCGUGAGGGAAAGAUGAAAAGAACUUUGGAAAGAGAGUUAAACAGUACGUGAAAUUGCUGAAAGGGAAACGCUUGAUGUCAGUCGCAUCGUCCGGGGAUCAGCCUCGCUCUUUUGCUCGGCGUACUUCCUGGUCGAUGGGUCAGCAUCGGUUUCGACCGUCGGAAAAUGGCUCGAGGAACGUGGCACUCUUCGGGGUGUGUUAUAGCCUCGAGUC